rnacentral:sRNA from 1 species
UGUUAGAAAGAGAAUUAAUGGUAGAUGA